UGGCGGACCGGGUGAGUAAUGUCUGGGAAACUGCCUGAUGGAGGGGGAUAACUACUGGAAACGGUAGCUAAUACCGCAUAACGUCGCAAGACCAAAGAGGGGGACCUUAGGGCCUCUUGCCAUCGGAUGUGCCCAGAUGGGAUUAGCUAGUAGGUGGGGUAAAGGCUCACCUAGGCGACGAUCCCUAGCUGGUCUGAGAGGAUGACCAGCCACACUGGAACUGAGACACGGUCCAG
rnacentral:rRNA from 1 species